UCCUUCUGGAUGACGAACGCAGCGGCGUCUUCUUUUCGCCUCUUGGAUAUUUUGAUUUCUUGUUUUUUUUUGCGUGUUUUUGUACCGUCACUCUUCUUCAGUUUUCUUUCCUCCUUUUUUUCCUUGUAUUGCCCCUUUGGGUUUUUUAUGAUUUUCUGUGUUUCUCUUCGUUGUUCUCUUCGCGUGAGCGCUCUACCCCCCCCCCUCCCUCCCCUCAAGCCCCUCCCUCUUGCGCACAGGGACACCGAUGCGCAUCCGUGUGUGUGGGUGUAGAGGGGCGGGGAGGAAGAGAGGGAGGGAGGAGGGGCUGAGCGUGUGGGUCUGCGUGAAUGUGCCAGCGACGUGCCGCGGUACUUUUGUCCUUCCGUCAUUGGCCCCGUCUCGUCGAUGAUGGUCUCGGCUAUACAUCAAACCAGCAGAGAUCUGUCAUGGCUUUCUUCUUGGAGGGCCACGGAAAGGCGCUCUCUCUUCUCCCUCGCUUCCGUAUGCUGACAAGGACGCGUAUAUAUGCGUAUGUACAUCAAUGGUGGUGGGCGCACACGCGACUGCGUCGAUGGUGGUGACGCAUAGUGUGCGGCGCGUUGCUGAACACGCAAGGAAGUAAAGGGGGAACACGGAAAGAAGGAACUAAAGUGUAACUGUCGCGCGCUUUUGUAUCUCCUGUUCUUGACGCGCGAUCCACCAUGUACAUGGACAUCUCUCAAUCCAUUCCCUCUCCCGAUCCAUCUGAUUUUUUUUUGCCUGCGCGCUUCUUCUUAUCCAGCCCUCACGACGAAA
rnacentral:misc_RNA from 1 species